rnacentral:rRNA from 1 species
CCUACGGGUGGCAGCAGUAGGGAAUUUUGCGCAAUGGGCGAAACCCUGACGCAGCAACGCCGCGUGAUCGAGACGCCCUUCGGGGUGUAAAGAUCUGUCAGUGGGGACGAAAAUUGACGGUACCCACAGAGGAAGCACCGGCUAACUCCGUGCCAGCAGCCGCGGUAAUACGGGGGGUGCAAGCGUUGUCCGGAAUCAUUGGGCGUAAAGGGUUCGGAGGCGGCACGGAAAGUCUGGUGUUAAAGGCAGGGGCUCAACUUCUGUACGGCACUGGAUACUUGCGAGCUAGAAUGCGGGAGAGGUAAAGGGAAUUCCUGGUGUAGCGGUGAAAUGCUUAGAUAUCAGGAGGAACAUCGGUGGCGUAAGCGCUCUACUGGGCCGUAAUUGACGCUGAGGAACGAAAGCCAGGGGAGCAAAUGGGAUUAGAUACCCCUGUAGUC